GAUGAACGCUGGCGGCGUGCUUAAUACAUGUAAGUCGAACGGAUGAUUAGCAAUAAUUAUUAGUGGCGAACGGGUGAGUAACGCGUUGGUGACCUGCCCCGAAGUGGGGGAUACCAGUUCGAAAGGACUGCUAAUACCGCAUGAGUUCGUGCGAGGUGAGACAGCACGAGGAAAGCUACGUGAGUAGCGCUUUGGGAGGGACCUGCGUCCCAUCAGCUAGUUGGUAAGGUAACGGCUUACCAAGGCGACGACGGGUAGGGGGCCUGAGAGGGUGACCCCCCACACUGGCACUGAAACACGGGCCAGACACCUACGGGUGGCAGCAGUAGGGAAUAUUGCACAAUGGGCGAAAGCCCGAUGCAGCAACGCCGCGUGCACGAUGAAGGCCUUCGGUUGUAAAGUGCUUUCUUGCAGGAAGAGGAAGGACUGUACUGUAGGAAUAAGGAUCGGCUAACUACGUG
rnacentral:rRNA from 1 species